rnacentral:lncRNA from 1 species
GGGGUAACAACAGGGCGUGAGAACUACUGUAAAAACAGGUAGUCCUCAGUGGGUGCCGCCCUAAACAACAUCGGUCCACCCACUAAGUCUACAGAAGGGAGCCAGGAUAGUAGUAAAUGCAGGAAUGAAAUCUACCGCUAUGAAUCACUACACUAUCAUGCUCUACACUAACCAACUGUAGGAAAUGUCAAAUCUGACCCAAUCCAAUCGGGACUGUAAGCAUACCCGUCCCUGGGACUGUGAACACACCCGUCCCUGCCCAGUUGUGACAAUCAGCUACCUCCACACUACUGGUCCGUGGAGAGCAAGUCCAACCGGCAUGAGCGACACCAACGCAAAAGCACUAAGCCCGCCUCCGGAGUGGCACUCGUGGGAGCUACCCAACCGAGUAUGCAGCGUGUCUCUGUCGAGCUCAAACAGGCUCUAACAAGCCAAAGUCAAGUAACCGACUCAUACUGGUCUAACAACCAACUAGUAACGUGCCCUCGGCACAAUCUGACGCCAAAACGGCGAACCGGGUCCACCGUCAACCCCGACGGCACCCAACAGUCUGGAACAGCCUGAACGCUACUAUAAAAAUACACUCGGCAUCCCAGCACGAGUGUAACUGAAAUCUAAACUACCUGGAAUACUCACUAUGAUGAUACUGAAACCGUAUAAAAUCAUACCACGGUCCCUAGGGCUAAAUCAGGUAGUUAACAUAUGCCGAUCGUUAUCGCGUUUUCUCCUAAGUCAAAUCCAAGUCCAACAUGUAUAUUCAUAUUUAUUAAUCAUGUUCUUAAAUCGUAUUUAUCCAAGAUAUAAUCAAUGAGAUAGAGCUACACAUGAUUUAUACAACUACAAAUCAUACAUGUCGACUAAUGCUAUACUUAGGAAUAAACCGAUGUAACCCACCUAGCUCGCUAAUCCCUGGCAGCACGGAACUGCCCUCGGCUGCGGAACAACCUGCCGAAACGUCCGAAAACCUCCCAAGGCCCGAAGUCAAGCUCCCGCCAAACUCUACACGGAGAAUCCGACAAUAAGCAUUAUUUCUGCCUCAAAAACAGCAACAGAGAAGAGCGAAAUUCCGACCUAGCAAACCUUUAUCAAAUCCAGCAAGUAAGGACUUCGUGGAUUCCUCUCGAAGUCCCGAAUCCAACAAACCAAGUCCCGUCGAAAACCGACGCUCCUACGCCGAGUACGAACUGAAAUACCGACGGUCGACGCUGGAAAUUCUGCAAAUCAGCACCAAGCUCGAAUGGAUAAUACUUGAAGCAGUGCAACGGAACACUCACCUCAAAGGCUAAUCGGACAUCGACGCGGCGUCGAGAACGACGAAAACGCAUCCUCGCCUAGUUUCCUCGCAACGCUACGAUCCCAACCGUACCCUCGAACGGCUUCGCGGCGCGUCGUCGGCGUCGAACUCG